GUGCUCGCCUUGGCAGCACAUAUACUAAAAUUGGAAUGAUACAGAAAAGAUUAGCAUAGCCCCUGCACAAGGAUGACACACAAAUUCGUGAAAUGUUCCAUAUUUUG
rnacentral:snRNA from 1 species